GGUAAAGGCGUGGCCCGUCAUAUUAUCUGAAAGCAACGAGAUUAAAGGACGCCGCUGGCGGCGUCUACUUUAAUCAACACAACAGAAAACAAAAUGGUGGAACAACCAAGACAGCCGAGUCGCGUCGUCUCCCUCCGGGCUGGACCUGGUGAGGUGGACACUGACACCCUGUUUGACGUGAACCUCAGGUACAUGUGGUGC